rnacentral:rRNA from 1 species
AGAGUUUGAUCAUGGCUCAGAACGAACGCUGGCGGCAGGCCUAACACAUGCAAGUCGAGCGCACCUUCGGGUGAGCGGCGGACGGGUUAGUAACGCGUGGGAACGUGCCCUUCUCUACGGAAUAGCCUCGGGAAACUGAGAGUAAUACCGUAUACGCCCUUCGGGGGAAAGAUUUAUCGGAGAAGGAUCGGCCCGCGUUAGAUUAGGUAGUUGGUGGGGUAAUGGCCUACCAAGCCUACGAUCUAUAGCUGGUUUAAGAGGAUGAUCAGCAACACUGGGACUGAGACACGGCCCAGACUCCUACGGGAGGCAGCAGUGGGGAAUCUUGGACAAUGGGCGCAAGCCUGAUCCAGCCAUGCCGCGUGAGUGAUGAAGGCCUUAGGGUCGUAAAGCUCUUUCGCCAGGGAUGAUAAUGACAGUACCUGGUAAAGAAACCCCGGCUAACUCCGUGCCAGCAGCCGCGGUAAUACGGAGGGGGUUAGCGUUGUUCGGAAUUACUGGGCGUAAAGCGCACGUAGGCGGAUCAGAAAGUUGGGGGUGAAAUCCCAGGGCUCAACCCUGGAACUGCCUUCAAAACUCCUGGUCUAGAGUUCGAGAGAGGUGAGUGGAAUUCCGAGUGUAGAGGUGAAAUUCGUAGAUAUUCGGAGGAACACCAGUGGCGAAGGCGGCUCACUGGCUCGAUACUGACGCUGAGGUGCGAAAGUGUGGGGAGCAAACAGGAUUAGAUACCCUAGUAGUCC